rnacentral:rRNA from 1 species
CGCGAACGCUGGCGGCAGGCUUAACACAUGCAAGUCGAGCGGGCGUAGCAAUACGUCAGCGGCAGACGGGUGAGUAACGCGUGGGAACAUACCUUUUGGUUCGGAACAACACAGGGAAACUUGUGCUAAUACCGGAUAAGCCCUUACGGGGAAAGAUUUAUCGCCGAAAGAUUGGCCCGCGUCUGAUUAGCUAGUUGGUGAGGUAAUGGCUCACCAAGGCGACGAUCAGUAGCUGGUCUGAGAGGAUGAUCAGCCACAUUGGGACUGAGACACGGCCCAAACUCCUACGGGAGGCAGCAGUGGGGAAUAUUGGACAAUGGGCGCAAGCCUGAUCCAGCCAUGCCGCGUGAGUGAUGAAGGCCCUAGGGUUGUAAAGCUCUUUUGUGCGGGAAGAUAAUGACGGUACCGCAAGAAUAAGCCCCGGCUAACUUCGUGCCAGCCGCCGCAGU